GAUGAAGUGGCCGAGUGGUUUAGGUGGGACUGCUAAUCCAUUGUGCUCUGCAUGCGUGGGUUUGAAUCCCGUCCUCGUUG
rnacentral:tRNA from 1 species